rnacentral:rRNA from 1 species
GGACGAACGCUGGCGGCGUGCUUAACACAUGCAAGUCGAACGGAAAGGCCCUGCUUUUGUGGGGUGCUCGAGUGGCGAACGGGUGAGUAACACGUGAGUAACCUGCCCUUGACUUUGGGAUAACUUCAGGAAACUGGGGCUAAUACCGGAUAGGAGCUCCUGCUGCAUGGUGGGGGUUGGAAAGUUUCGGCGGUUGGGGAUGGUCUCGCGGCCUAUCGGCUUGGUGGUGGGGUAGUGGCGUACCAAGGCUUUGACGGGUAGCCGGCAUGAGAGGGUGACCGGACACAUUGGGACUGAGAUAGGGCCCAGCGGCCAACAGGAGGCAGCAGUGGCGAAUAUUGCACAGUGGGCGGAAGCCUGAUGCAGCGACGCCGCGUGCGGGAUGACGUCCUUCGGGGUGUAAACCGCUUUCGCCUGUGACGAAGCGUGAGUGACGGUAAUGGGUAAAGAAGCACCGGCUAACUACGUG